AUUGAACGCUGGCGGAAUGCUUUACACAUGCAAGUCGAACGGCAGCACGGGGCAACCUGGUGGCGAGUGGCGAACGGGUGAGUAAUACAUCGGAACGUGCCCAAUCGUGGGGGAUAACGUAGCGAAAGUUACGCUAAUACCGCAUACGAUCUACGGAUGAAAGCGGGGGAUCGCAUGACCUCGCGCGAAUGGAGCGGCCGAUGUCAGAUUAGGUAGUUGGUGGGGUAAAGGCUCACCAAGCCGACGAUCUGUAGCUGGUCUGAGAGGACGACCAGCCACACUGGGACUGAGACACGGCCCAGACUCCUACGGGAGGCAGCAGUGGGGAAUUUUGGACAAUGGGCGCAAGCCUGAUCCAGCCAUUCCGCGUGCAGGAUGAAGGCCUGGUUGUAACUAGCUUUGUUACGGUACGAAAAAGGACUCUCUCUAAUACAG
rnacentral:rRNA from 1 species